GCUGCUUUGUUUGGUCUGUCUUUUGGGGGUCUUUUGGGUGGCAGAAAUCAAGUGUCAAAUCAAGUAUGUCGUCACGGUUGAGGAAACGUGCGAUGGAUUUUGCUUGAAGGAACCCUGCUAUGAGCUAUUCGCGGUGAAUGGCACCUGUCCAGGGGAACUGCAUUGCUGCAAGAUGCACUUAAUGGGUAAAUGAUUCAUCACAGAUCCCCUACUGUGUAUAUUUGUAUAAAUAUCAUUCCCCAAUUAUCUCAUUGCUA